UGGGGAAUUUUGGACAAUUGGGCGAAAGCCUGAUCCAGCAAUGCCGCGUGUGUGAAGAAGGCCUUCGGGUUGUAAAGCACUUUUGUCCGGAAAGAAAUCCUUGGCUCUAAUACAGUCGGGGGAUGACGGUACCGGAAGAAUAAGCACCGGCUAACUACGUGCCAGCAGCCGCGGUAAUACGUAGGGUGCAAGCGUUAAUCGGAAUUACUGGGCGUAAAGCGUGCGCAGGCGGUUUGCUAAGACCGAUGUGAAAUCCCCGGGCUCAACCUGGGAACUGCAUUGGUGACUGGCAGGCUAGAGUAUGGCAGAGGGGGGUAGAAUUCCACGUGUAGCAGUGAAAUGCGUAGAGAUGUGGAGGAAUACCGAUGGCGAAGGCAGCCCCCUGGGCCAAUACUGACGCUCAUGCACGAAAGCGUGGGGAGCAAACAGGAUUAGAUACCCUGGUAGUCCACGCCCUAAACGAUGUCAACUAGUUGUUGGGGAUUCAUUUCCUUAGUAACGUAGCUAACGCGUGAAGUUGACCGCCUGGGGAGUACGGUCGCAAGAUUAAAACUUAAAUGAAUUGACGGGGUCAUAGCUGUUUCCU
rnacentral:rRNA from 1 species